rnacentral:lncRNA from 1 species
GAGCUGCCUAAUUAGAAUAUUAAUAAUUAUUUUUAUUUUUAAAAUAAACAUCAUUUUUAAAAGCCUUACAAAUAAUAACAUCAUAUGUCAAGAAUAAGUACACCCAUGGAUCUUAUGGAUAACACUGAAGUAUAGGAUAAAUAUAAAAACAGCUUUCUGGAGAAGGUUUUUGGGAAGUGACCCAAAAACAAAUAUGAAAAGAAAAAGAAAAUUCUACCCUGAGCUCAAGUUCCAUAAUGUUCUGUGCAAAGAGGUCAGAGCUACUAGGAAACUCAAAAGUCUUUCUAAUAAGAACCAAGGACAGAGCUCAGUGGUACUAUGAUCAUUGGAAAGGUGGGGCUGAGAGUGGGAAUGUAUAGCAUCCUGGAAGGGAGAACUAGAUAGAUCUUCUGUAUAUAAAUUCUGCACAAAUCUGUAUUAGGAUUAACCACCCAUGCAUGAACCCAUGCUGCUCAGAGAGCAGCUUACUGAAGAGGAUACAUGAGUAAAACGGGAUCUAGUCCCCUAUUUAAGACAGAAUUUGAAUUCUAAGGCAACCACAUUAAUUACCUGCUUAGGAAAAAAUUCAUCAUUCCUGAAGAAUAUAACAAAAUUCAGAACCUCUACAACAUAAUAGCCACAUUCUAUGUGUUGACUUUAUCUGGCCUAUUUCUAUAUAAAAGACUUAUUCUGAAGUUAUUAGGUAUUACCUCAUACAAGAUAUUAGCAUUAAUGAGAAAAUAAUUUAAGGCAGUUAUAAUUUUGCCCCAUAUGUGAAGGAAAAUAUGAUUAUAAUGAAUAAAAAUAUAUGACAUCUCAACAAAGAAAGUGAAAUUUUAUAUGUAACUUGUCUAUCUCUAAUGUGUAUAAAUAUGUUACUUAUAUAUUAUAUAUCAAAUAGAAAUUCUAGAGAUGAAAAGUAUAUCUGAAAGAAAAAGAUUGAUUGGGUAGGCUUAGUAGCAGAAUGGAGAUGGCAGAACAGUCAUUAAACUUCAUAAAUACAAAUAGAGAACAAAGUGUAGAACCAAAUACAGACUUGGCAGAAAUUGAUGGUUUUCCUUGAAAUCAUUUUAAACAAUGUUAUUUUAGGAACGUGUCUGCUGUAGGCAGAAUAAUGGUUUCUGUAAAGAUACUCAUAUUCCCAGGACCUGGGAAUAUGUUUUCCUGCUGGUCAGAAGUUCUCAUUAGCUUCUGUGCCUGUUUCAGCUGCCCUCUAGUUUAAGACCCCUUUCUUGUAAUGUGUAUUAGACAUCUAUUGCUGCAGUAGCUUAUAGAAUCUUAAAGUAUUAUAUCAUAUCUUCUGUUGAUCAAGAAGCUUAGUUAAGUAGUUCUAAGUCAAGUCUCAGAAGGUUACAGUCUAUUGAACUGUGAGGUUACCACAAUUAUUGUCUAAAUGAGCAUCCAUUUUCAAGUUCAUUCAUGUGGCUGUUGACUGAUUUAGAAAAAAAUGUUUCUAAGGUCCUUCUUGUUAACUUCUCCCCAAACUGUACCAGCUAUUGUACAUGAAAGAGCACCUAAGAAAAAACUCAUAGUCUUUAAAAUACACAACUUUGAAUGUAACAUCCUGUUAUUCCGUUAUAUUCAACUUA